rnacentral:ncRNA from 2 species
AGAAAGCACCAGGGGUGCCUGUGUCAGCUUCAAAAACCUGGCCUUAUUAGCCAGGUUAUACGCUGACUGAACAGGCUGAGAAAGUCCCUUUGAACCUGAACAGGAUAAUUCCUGCGUAGGGAGUGUGCAUUUUUUUGUUG